rnacentral:rRNA from 1 species
GAUGAACGCUGGCGGCGUGCCUAAUACAUGCAAGUCGAGCGAACGGACGAGAAGCUUGCUUUUCUGAUGUUAGCGGCGGACGGGUGAGUAACACGUGGAUAACCUACCUAUAAGACUGGGAUAACCUCGGGAAACCGGAGCUAAUACCGGAUAAUAUUUUGAACCGCAUGGUUCAAAAGUGAAAGACGGUCUUGCUGUCACUUAUAGAUGGAUCCGCGCUGCAUUAGCUAGUUGGUAAGGUAACGGCUUACCAAGGCAACGAUGCAUAGCCGACCUGAGAGGGUGAUCGGCCACACUGGAACUGAGACACGGUCCAGACUCCUACGGGAGGCAGCAGUAGGGAAUCUUCCGCAAUGGGCGAAAGCCUGACGGAGCAACGCCGCGUGAGUGAUGAAAGUCUUCGGAUCGUAAAACUCUGUUAUUAGGGAAGAACAUAUGUGUAAGUAACUGUGCACAUCUUGACGGUACCUAAUCAGAAAGCCACGGCUAACUACGUG